rnacentral:rRNA from 1 species
UAAACGAUGAAUACUCGCUGUUUGCGAUAUACAGCAAGCGGCCAAGCGAAAGCGUUAAGUAUUCCACCUGGGGAGUACGCCGGCAACGGUGAAACUCAAAGGAAUUGACGGGGGCCCGCACAAGCGGAGGAACAUGUGGUUUAAUUCGAUGAUACGCGAGGAACCUUACCCGGGCUUAAAUUGCAGAUGAAUUACGGUGAAAGCCGUAAGCCGCAAGGCAUCUGUGAAGGUGCUGCAUGGCUGUCGUCAG